rnacentral:lncRNA from 1 species
CCUCGGAGCGCGGCCGCCGGGCCCGAGGCGCCGGCGCGGACGGAGCUUCUCCCGUCGGGAUCGGCGGCGCGGAUCGCGGCCGGCGGGGUCCGCCCUGCAGGAUCCGCCCUUCGAACUUCAUCCUUCGGGGUUCACCUCGCCAAAUUCACCUUUCAGGAUCCGCCCUUCGAACUUCAUCCUUCGGGAUUCACCUCGCCAAAUUCACCUUUCAGGAUUCGCCCUGCGGGAUCUGCCCUUCGAACUUCAUCCUUCAGGAUUCACCUCGCCAAAUUCACCUUUCAGGAUUCGCCCUUCAAAUUUCAUCCUUCAGGAUUCACCUCGCCAAAUUCACCUUUCAGGAUCCGUCCUGCGGGAUUCGCCCUUCGAACUUCAUCCUUCAGGAUUCACCUCGCCAAAUUCACCCUGCAGGAUCCGCCCUUCGAACUUCAUCCUUCAGGAUUCACCUCGCCAAAUUCACCUUUCAGGAUCCGCCCUUCGAACUUCAUCCUUCAGGAUUCACCUCGCCAAAUUCACCUUUCAGGAUCCGCCCUUCGAACUUCAUCCUUCAAAUUUCACCUCGCCAAAUUCACCCUGCAGGAUUCGCCCUUCGAAUUUCAUCCUUCAAAUCCAACCCUUAUCACCUCGCCAAAUUCACCCUUCAGGAACCACCUCGCCACAUUCACCCUUCAAAUUUCACCCUUCAAAUUUCACCCUUCAGGAUUCGCCCUUGGAAUUUCAUCCUUCAGGAUUCACCCUUCAAAUGUCACACUUCAGGAUUCGCCCUUCAAAUGUCACACUUCAGGAUUCGCCCUUCAGGAUUCACCUCGCCAAAUUCACCUUUCAAAUUUCACCGUUCAGGAUCCGCCCUUCAGAUUUAACCUUUCAAAUUUCAACCUUCAGGAUUCAAUUCUCAAAUUUCAACCUUCAGGAUUCACCUCGCCAAAUCCAACCCUUCAGAAUUCGCCUUUCAAAUUUCACCCUUCGGGAUUCACUUCGCAAACUUCGCCUUUCAAAAUUCACCUUUCAAAUUUGACUCGUCGGGAUUCACCUUUCGAAAUUCGCCUUUCAAAAUUCACUUUUCAAAAUUCACUUUUCAAAAUUCACCCUUCCAAUUCCGGCCGUCAGGAUUCACCCCAAAAAAUUCACCCUUCAAAAUUCAGCCCAAAAAUUCACCCUUCAAAAUUCAGCCCCAAAAAUCACCCCAAAAAAUUCCGGCCCCAAAAUU